rnacentral:rRNA from 1 species
UACGGGGGGGGCAAGUGUUGUUCGGAAUUACUGGGCGUAAAGGGUUCGUAGGUGGCUUGCUAAGUCAGACGUGAAAUCCCUCAGCUUAACUGGGGAACUGCGUCUGAUACUGGCGAGCUUGAGUGCAGGAGAGGAACGCGGAAUUCCAGGUGUAGCGGUGAAAUGCGUAGAUAUCUGGAGGAACACCGGUGGCGAAGGCGGCGUUCUGGACUGCAACUGACACUGAUGAACGAAAGCCAGGGGAGCAAACGGG